UAUAAAAAUGUAAAACCAAGAUGACUACACUUCUGCAGUUAUUGGAAACGAGCCGCUUAAGACAGAGAACCUGAUUGUCUGACAUACAAAAA